rnacentral:misc_RNA from 1 species
AAGUCGUAACAAGGUUUCCGUAGGUGAACCUGCGGAAGGAUCAUUAUCAGAUUCUGCUAGUCAGAUAUCAAAUCCCGUGUGAACUGUUACCUUUGCCUUGGCGUCAGUGAUGGCAGCGCCUGAAUCUUUGGCUUGUCCUUUGUUCAGGCGUUGUCAUCUAGGCGUCAUCAUUUGAACCAUGUAAACUGUAUGCAGAGUAUACCCAAAAGACUAGAAAACUUUUAGCAACGGAUCUCUAGGCUCUU